rnacentral:rRNA from 1 species
AGAGUUUGAUCCUGGCUCAGGAUGAACGCUAGCGGCAGGCUUAACACAUGCAAGUCGAGGGGCAUCGGGAGGGAAGCUUGCUUUCCUUGCCGGCGACCGGCGCACGGGUGAGUAACACGUAUGCAACCUGCCCUCUUCAGGGGGACAACCUUCCGAAAGGGAGGCUAAUCCCGCGUAUAUCGGUUUCGGGCAUCCGAGAUCGAGGAAAGAUUCAUCGGAAGAGGGUGGGCAUGCGGCGCAUUAGCUAGACGGCGGGGUAACGGCCCACCGUGGCAACGAUGCGUAGGGGUUCUGAGAGGAAGGUCCCCCACACUGGUACUGAGACACGGACCAGACUCCUACGGGAGGCAGCAGUGAGGAAUAUUGGUCAAUGGGAGAGAUCCUGAACCAGCCAAGCCGCGUGAGGGAAGACGGCCCUAUGGGUUGUAAACCUCUUUUGUCGGAGAACAAAACCCGGGACGAGUCCCGGACUGCGUGUAUCCGAAGAAAAAGCAUCGGCUAACUCCGUGCCAGCAGCCGCGGUAAUACGGAGGAUGCGAGCGUUAUCCGGAUUUAUUGGGUUUAAAGGGUGCGUAGGCGGUCCGUUAAGUCAGCGGUAAAAUUGCGGGGCUCAACCCCGUCGAGCCGUUGAAACUGGCAGACUUGAGUUGGCGAGAAGUACGCGGAAUGCGCGGUGUAGCGGUGAAAUGCAUAGAUAUCGCGCAGAACCCCGAUUGCGAAGGCAGCGUACCGGCGCCAGACUGACGCUGAGGCACGAAAGCGUGGGGAUCGAACAGGAUUAGAUACCCUGGUAGUCCACGCAGUAAACGAUGAAUGCUGGUUGUCCGGGUCGAAUGAGACCUGGGCGGCGAAGCGAAAGCGAUAAGCAUUCCACCUGGGGAGUACGCCGGCAACGGUGAAACUCAAAGGAAUUGACGGGGGCCCGCACAAGCGGAGGAACAUGUGGUUUAAUUCGAUGAUACGCGAGGAACCUUACCCGGGCUCAAACGGGAGUGGAAUGGACCAGAGACGGUUCAGCCUACGGGCCGCUUCCGAGGUGCUGCAUGGUUGUCGUCAGCUCGUGCCGUGAGGUGUCGGCUUAAGUGCCAUAACGAGCGCAACCCCCGCCGGCAGUUGCUAACGGGCAAUGCCGAGGACUCUGCCGGGACUGCCGCCGCAAGGCGUGAGGAAGGCGGGGAUGACGUCAAAUCAGCACGGCCCUUACGUCCGGGGCGACACACGUGUUACAAUGGGCGGUACAGCGGGAAGCCAGGCGGCGACGCCGAGCGGAACCCGAAAGCCGUUCUCAGUUCGGAUCGGAGUCUGCAACCCGACUCCGUGAAGCUGGAUUCGCUAGUAAUCGCGCAUCAGCCAUGGCGCGGUGAAUACGUUCCCGGGCCUUGCACACGCCGCCCGUCA